GUGCGAGGAGCGACGGCGAGGACCAUCGCGGCGGGACGGAAUCUCGCACCAGGCAGGGCACUGGGAUAACACCCGAACCCGAACGCGCGACCGACCCGUCGUGCGACGUUGCCAGUUGGGCCUUGGGCCCGUCGACCAACUCAAACAAAACAGCUCACUGACUCGCCUACUUGUUUUUGUGGUUAUUGCAGGAAUUGUAGGAGACAAAGUACCCACCGACACCGACUGAAUGGAGCCGCUCUCCCCCUCUUCAAAUAGGAAUUUUCAAUUGAUUAAAAAACUAAAUGUUCAAAAUGACUGAAGCACUUUUUUUAAAGAUUAAUGCUCAGUGCUGUUAUCUGUCAGAAUAAACUGUCACACUUACUAAAGCUCAACACUCCUAUGUAUCAACAAACUGUAAUUGUAUACUCUAAAUUAGUGCAAGGCAUAUCGUCCACAGAAAGUCACGUUUCUUCUCCCCAAUUUUUGCAACUGUGCAACGCAAAGAAAGUUGAACACUUGUCAGUGCUUGUCAUUAAAUCGUCAGAUGCCAAGGUCUUAGGUCAGAGCGAUACAGUCCCAUCUCUUAAGUUUGAUAAGUGCUCUGCUCCAGCCCGCAUUGCAUACCGUGUAGCGUAGCAUCUUAAAUGUUAAAAACAUUCCCUUCUUAAGUAAAACAUUUUUCUUUUUUUAAAGUAUACAGUCAUUGCAGUUUUAAGUCUGCUGGAAGAGUGGAUGAUUAGUUUUCAGAUGUCAGGCAAGGAGUAGGUAUAAAACUGAGAAGAUUUUAGAAAUGUGAAAAAUACUAUAAAAUUCUUUAAUAGAAUGAAUUGUAAGAAAUACAAAUAGUGGUAUACAUAAAUAAAAUGAACAGAAUACAGAGAUAAAACAGACUAUAAAAUAUUCAAGCACACUCCAUGUCUCUGAACGUUUCCCAAGAAAGACAGUGAAUCAAA